AAAAUACCCAAAAGCCUAUAAAACCUAAACGAAAACUCAAAACUUUACGAAACUUGAUGACAACAUGUGUCAGAUGACUCUUAACAAUUAUACAAAGUUUCAUAGAGAUCGGAUCAUAGGUGGUGCUAAAAACGGUUACAAAGGCCUCAAAAACUCAAGAUUUAUAUGGUAAAUAGCCUCAAAUUAGUUAAAAUUCUCAUAUAUUCACACAAACACUAGAUCUUCAUAUCAUAUGAUAGAGCACCUCAUUCUGAAAAACUUUAGGACCAAUGUUGUCAAUAAAACUGUUAAUUAAAUAUUCAAGAUUAUUUAAAAAAGCUACUUUUGCAAACUAGUCCAACGGUUUAAGCUGAAAAUCAAUAAAACCACUGAAGUACAAUUCUCUAGACACUGUAGGUCAAUAAUUAUCAAAAAAAAAAAAAAAUUUUAAACAAUUGCAUUUGGACAACUAUUAAGCGGUCAUUUUAUUAUAUGUUCUUAACAUAGUGUACCCAAAGGCCUAUUAAUACAAACAGACAGCCCACAAAUUAUCAAAACUGUGUAAAAUAAUGCAUAUUUUCAUUCUAGAGAAGCAUGCAAAAUUUAAGAGGGAUUGGGCAAAAAAUAACACUCUAAUAGUUAUAAAUUUUAAAAACACAGUGUUGUAUGAGAAAUUGCCAUAUUUAACCACUAGAUGGCAGCGGAAGAUCACUAAUGGGCUAAUUCAUCUAACAUUAAACAGUUCAAAGGUUUUAUGGAUUCAUGUCAAAACAAUUAAAAACCAAUGUUAUAACAUUUAAAAUCUCGUUGAGUCAAAGUUUGUCAGCCAUACAUCCAGGUUGGCCGAGACCAUCCCAAAGGUCUUAAAGUGCUUGAACCCCGGUAAUCGCUGCUUGCAGCUAUAUUUAUUAGGGGUUCAAGCACGCAGUGCUGAAACCCUCUUGUAAUUGUUAGGAUUAUUAUUAUUAUUAUUAUUAUUAUUAUUAUUAUUCUUCUGCCCUAAAACUGAUCGUGCAGACCAAACCGUAAGGCCUAGAGACUUGAAAUUUG
ensembl:lncRNA